UUUUGUCUCUAUCGAAGCCAUGUUCAACUUUUAAUGUUCUUCUUGGUCAAAAUGAGACAAAUAAAAAUUCUUGCCUGACGGUCGCUGGCUUGUUGAAAUCUGUUCAUGACCAGCAUUACUAAAGGAAGGGACAAUU